rnacentral:rRNA from 1 species
AAGAUCGGCAAGUGCCCCUUUAUUUGUCUCCUAAGCAGUCCCAACAAUGUAUUAACAAGAUCGGCAAGUCCCAACAAUGUAUUAACUAGAUCGGCAACGCGCCUUGGCGCGAGGCGCGAGGGUGCCGGUCCUAACCUUUUGUCAAGCAGGUAAUGCUAAACCAGUAAGAAGCACGCCCUGAAGUAUGUAAUCAAUGCACGGUUCAACACCAAAAACAAUGCAAAUCUUUGACCUCAUGAAUUUUCCAAUCAAAGUACAUGUCACAGAUUACAAUUUAGGCACAUCAAGCUCGGCACAAAGGAAUAGGCCAGGUAAUGUUUAAUAGAUCAGGAUUAAGUAGCACAUAGGGCAGCAAGACAGUACAAAUUAUUGAAAGUGAAGCAUUUACACAGGAGGCUAUUGACAAUCAGAUAGCAGUCCUUCGCCAAGGACGGUUGAAGUUCCUCAUCGCUCAAAGAAAAGGUCGCUCAAAGAAAAACUGAGUAGCAUUGGCCUGAAAGUGAAGAAAAAACCAUAUUCCUGGAGAAGAUAUCUCAACAUUUUUACAACAAUAGAUAUCUACAGUGACCAAAAAGGAACUAUCAAGAAGGCAAGAUUAGUAAACUGACAUCAAGCAACUCAUGUAUGUUUCCUUUAAAUUUGUUUGGGGAGUGGUAGAAAAUGCAGCCGAAACUACCAAGAGAAUCGAGAUGGUUUAGUACGACAUAACACAAGCAGGACAUAGUAGUAGUUUGAGCCAAUCUAAGAGCACUAUUUUAAUAUGGCAUAGCAAUAUAAACUUCAUCGAAACAUCUUGCCAUCUAGAUAACUGGUCAUCAGGGCUGAAGCAAAUGAUUCUCGACGUCAAUCGACCAUGUAGAGUCGUGCAUGAAGAAGGCAUUGUCAUUUAUCAGUAAGAGGUUAGUCAGCAAAUAUGCCACCUAAAGACGUACAUCAUGAAGAAAACGGGUCGAUAUUAGGUGCACGUAAAAUGUGUCAAAUAGAUAUAAGAACAAACGACUCUACAUGUUGAAGUAUAACUGGGGCAGCUGGGUUAAAAACAUGACGACAACUGCGACCAACUCAAUCAGGAAACUAAUACCUAUAAAGGGAAAUGAAGGCAUGUCUCAAGAGAUAUAAGGAACAAAGUUUGUUAUCUAUAUUGAAUGAAAAAGAUCAAUGUAAACUCGCCAUGAAAUGAAUCCAAAUAUAUGGGGCUCCAUGGGCAAACAACACCUUUGUUGCUUCAUGCUGAACUACUUUAUGUAAGAGAAAAUUUUAAGCUUUAGUGGCCAGCAAGCAGGCAGGUGAAGUGUCAUAUUAGUAAAUGUGCAAAAGGUUAUCUAUUGAAUACCAUGUGAAUGGAACAUGUCUGCCUUGCAUACAAUUUGGAGACUAAAGAGGCAAACAACCCAAAUAGGCACAUUACUUAUAAUUAGGACAAUAAAUUUGCGUGCUUUGGCCGUCACUGAUUCCAUACAUAUAACUCAAAAAAGGAAUAAUGCCACAGUUUGGGUUACGGAUUCUUGAAAAUCAGCUUCGGCUUGGAUUCUAAGAAUCAGCUGCAGCUGCAGAUUCCGAAAAUCUGACGUUGUGGGUAUCGCCGCCCGAGCUUGGGGCGUGGUGCGAUGCAGGUCAGGCAUGGUGCAGCUGGUCCUUGGGGGAGAGCGGACGGAGCUGUGGAUGGCGCAAACAGAGGAUAGUGACUCGAAGAGCGGACGCAGCCGACGGAGCUUGCCAUUAGCUUGGGCGUGGCCGGAGGUCAGGGAGGAGCAAAGGCGCUCAGAUCCAUUCGCUUGGUAGUGGCCGGAGGUUGGGGAUGGGUAGAGGCCUUGUUUGGUUCAGCUUUUAUCGAUGGAUUCCGCUGCCGUGCAGUAGAAUCUGAACCAAAGGGCGAACCCAGCAGAAUCCGAUUUAAGAAAUCCGCUGCCAAAAUCUGAACCAAAAGCGGAAGCAGCCCGGGACGUGCUUUUCAAAAUCUAAUUCCGCUGCGGGCCAAAAUCUAAAAAAGUUGUAUCAGCUGGUUUGCCAAAUGACCUACAUCUUCUUCACAUCAGAUUUUCCACAGCUGUUUUUCCAAAGCAGAUUUUUCACAACUGCUUUUAGAAAUCAACAGCCGAACCAAACAGGGCCAGAGAGGUUGGACGAACUUCGGGCAGGUACGGAUGCGGCAGACCCAUCCGCUUAGGAACCGCCGGGGCCGACGCUCAUGGAGCCGCCGGAACCUGACCACCACGAGUGUCAUUGAGGGAAAGGCCAACGCAGAGGAUGGGGGCGGGGCGCGCGCGCGGAGCUUGCGGUACUCCCUCACGCCGCCGCCGCCGUGCUCCACCCGAUCCUCCAGCUGCAAUAGGCGCGCCUCCCCGUUGAUGUUAUUGCCGUCGCGGUCGCUAUGGGGACGAGGGGAUUUGGGUGUCGUUGACCUGGGCUGCGGGUGGAUACUGGAUGAGGCUGCGGUGGCAGUUUUGUUGUAGUUUCGAGCGAAAAUAGGGGCAAGGGCACAAAACGAAUCGUUUUGAAUCUGCUGAAUCGCCAAAAUCGCUGCUUCCGGAUUCCUUGCGCUGGUAGUUCAUUUUUGGAAUCGGAUUCUAGGAAGCAACACAGGAAUCCGGCGUGUUUAGAAGCCUAGAAUCUGAGAAUCAGAAGCUGUAGCCCAAACAAAGGCCAACUUAGUAGGAAAGGUGAGCAGGGAAGCAUUCUAGUCAGGUAACCGGUGGUCUGACUGAACAAUUUUACGAAGUGAGGAACUGAGGAACCGAUCCUUUGGUUCGGAACCCUCUCUUACUAUUUUCGUCAAGGCACAUAGAGAACUAAAAUGCAGCUAUUAUUAAAUUCCCCACCAGCCACAAUGGCAACUACAGUUGGCCGCCUAUAUGAACCAGUUAAUAGUCACUAAAAUAUCAUGUAUCCACAACAAACCAAGAAAGAGAUACCUCCAAAUGGAGGAGGCAAUGUCAACAAGACAGUUCAAAGGAAAUAACACAUCAAUACUACUAAGAAAACGAAGAUUGGUAACUGCAAUGCAUCUAUUGCAGUAGUACAUUGAGCACCUGAGACAGUAACCGAAUCCGAAGGAGCAGUAGCCACGCACCCAGCAACGACCCUGGCACCAAACUCUAACCUGGCAGUACUAUAAAACACAUUGACACUCAAUUCACAGCACAUAAAUAAUUAAUGCAUAGUCAUAAGUCAAAGAUAUAUUUCACAAUGUUACCAAAGCCAUUUUCAGAAGCAAAUACCAGCACUUUAAAUAUACUGGAACUAAAAUAAACCAAAACUAAAAAAACUACUAACUAAUGUGGUCGAAAAACACCAGAUACUGAUCAAUGAUAUGUACCCACCUUAUUUUACUAAAUCUUCCACUACCAAAUGUGAUGUUAAAUAUCAAUUGAUAAUUACUCAUUUGUAUCUGCAAAGAAGUAUCAUGCUAAAAAUGAAAUACCAGAUCAGUUAGAGAACACAAUUAUGCAAAAUACUAAUAAGAAAUCUGUAAAUAUUGUAAUCAGUAUAUUUUUAAAAUAAAGCAAAUGCGCCCAUCUUAUCUUUCUUAUGUAGGUCAUGCCAGUUUUAAGCGAACUCUUAACUUCAUUCACAAAUUAUCUUAUACACGAAAAGAAAGAUUGCAUCCACAUAUCUAAAUUAAGCUCAAUGCUUUCGACAGAUGGAUUCUUCUUAUGUAACAGUACAACCCAACCACUGAGGAUCCAAUGCACAACAAGGCAGAACGGAAAAAUCAAGGAAAUUGUACAACAAACAUUAACAGGGGCCAACAAUAUAACAACAGGGGGGAAAGCACUACAACCUGACCAUUAGUACUAUCGAUGGCAAUGACCAUGGCCUCAAGGACAUGAAUAGAAUCAAACAUCGAGCGAAAUAGAAAAUCCCCGAAGCAAGAAGAUUAAUAUUGACUCGCACAUCUUACUGCCGCCUUUCUCGUGCUUCAUGCCUAGCAACAAUUCCUAGCAGUUAUUUUCCAGAAACCAUCUUGUUAUUAUAGAAAACCCCAAAGACUGCAAAAGUACAAGCAGAACACAAGAAUGUGAAUGAAGUUACAAAAUUUAUAUACAUUCAUGCCAUUUAACUAAGAAAACAUGAUCAAUCAUACCAGAAGGAGCCAAUUAAAGUCAAUAUAAAGUACAAAAGACUGUCAUUAUUUAAGAUGAAUAUGCUUAAAGCCUCUCUCUGAUUUAGCCAAAGCAGGAGAACAUCUAAUAUAACAAAAAUAGCAGGGUGAGGUGUUUUUAUAAUCAUCACGUAGAACUAAAAAGUAUCACUUCCAUACAACCCAGAAUAUAAAAUUAGAUGGAAAAAACAUGCAUGGACUCAACUCUUCAGUAAAAUAAUAGAUGUCUAUUCAAAGCUAUAUGUACUGCUAGCAAAACAUUAUGUUAAAUAAUAGGAAAAAGGAGAUGCCAUAUCAAUGGAUAGAUAUAUGUCUAAGAAUUUUGGCUUAGAGGCCGAUGAUGCAGUGUAUGGAGGCAGUGUUCAUAGGCCUAGAGGCAGCCUUAGAGGCGCCAAAUACUCAUAUUGUAGAUGCCCUUACUACACAGAGCCUAACUAAGAAUGCAAUAACCAGUCCUAGGCUAGUGCCUUUUCCUAUACAUCUUAAAAACUACAGCCACGUCUCCCAUAAUUUAUGGGAUGAUGCAAAUCUGCCACUUGGCCAUCGUUUACACAUUCUUAAAUCCGAGACAUACUUUAAGUCUACAAGAUCCCCAAGUCAGAACAGGGAAACAAAUAUAUGUCCACAGUAGCCAACAAGCGUCGGUGCAUUUCCUAUAUGUUUCCCUCCAUUCCAACUGUAAAUGGUCAAAUCUGGCAUCAUAAUUCAAAACAAUUGAAAGCUAGCUAGCUAUUGCUUUCAAACUUAAUAAAGUAGCUUAAAAACCACAUUGACCUAUGGUGUAAUUAAAUGCGGCUAUCAAUCUUCACAUGUAUGAUGGUGGUUAACUAUGCAGUAUGCAGUAUGGACAAAAAAUUAACCAGCGCACCCUGAGUGCAAAGAAGGAAUCAUCAAGGCGAAAGUAACAAGGGGCAAGGACGAG